UACGAAGGGGGCUAGCGUUGCUCGGAAUGACUGGGCGUAAAGGGCGCGUAGGCGGUUUGUACAGUCAGGUGUGAAAUUCCCGGGCUCAACCUGGGGGCUGCACUUGAUACGUAUGGACUGGAGUGGAGAAGAGGGUCGUGGAAUUCCCAGUGUAGAGGUGAAAUUCGUAGAUAUUGGGAAGAACACCGGUGGCGAAGGCGGCGACCUGGUCCUUGACUGACGCUGAGGAGCGAAAGCGUGGGGAGCGAACAGG
rnacentral:rRNA from 1 species